rnacentral:rRNA from 1 species
CCUACGGGAGGCAGCAGUGAGGAAUAUUGGUCAAUGGCCGGAAGGCUGAACCAGCCAUGCCGCGUGAAGGUCAAUGCCCUAUGGGCGUUAAACUUCUUUUGUGCGGGAGCAAUAAUGGUCACGUGUGGCCAGACGAGAGUACCGUACGAAUAAGCAUCGGCUAACUCCGUGCCAGCAGCCGCGGUAAUACGGGGGAUGCAAGCGUUAUCCGGAUUUAUUGGGUUUAAAGGGUGCGUAGGCUGUGAGGUAAGUCAGCGGUGAAAUGCCCCCGCUCAACGGGGUGAAGUGCCAUUGAUACUGCCUGGCUGGAAUGCGGAUGCGGUGGGAGGAAUGUGUGGUGUAGCGGUGAAAUGCAUAGAUAUCACACAGAACACCGAUUGCGAAGGCAUCUCACGAAUCCGCGAUUGACGCUGAUGCACGAAAGCGUGGGUAUCAAACAGGAUUAGAUACCCUAGUAGUC